rnacentral:rRNA from 1 species
AAACUUUCAACAACGGAUCUCUUGGUUCUGGCAUCGAUGAAGAACGCARCGAAAUGCGAUAAGUAGUGUGAAUUGCAGAAUUCRGUGAAUCAUCKAAUCUUUGAACGCACAUUGCGCCCCUUGKUAUGGCGAGGGGCAUGCCUGAACGAGCGUCAUUU